rnacentral:rRNA from 1 species
UACGUAGGGUGCGAGCGUUAAUCGGAAUUACUGGGCGUAAAGCGUGCGCAGGCGGUUCGUUAAGUCAGCUGUGAAAGCCCCGGGCUCAACCUGGGAAUGGCGGUUGAAACUGGCGAACUAGAAUCUGGCAGAGGGGGGUGGAAUUCCACGUGUAGCAGUGAAAUGCGUAGAGAUGUGGAGGAACACCGAUGGCGAAGGCAGCCCCCUGGGCUGAGAUUGACGCUCAGGCACGAAAGCGUGGGGAGCAAACAGG